GUAUUGUUACACUAGCCUUUAGGUUCGAUUUGCCCUCACCAAUCAGAUGCAAAUGAGAUAACCAGCGAAUCCCCUUCAUGGUACUUUGGAAAACCUUGAUAUGAUUUGCAUUUUCACACCAAGAGUAUCUUUCAAUAGUAUGUUACAAAAGAAUGAUUCUUAUUCUUUACUCAUGCAUUAAAAAAGAAUAAGAUGACUUAGCAUGUAAGAAUGGGUGAGAAAAGUGGAUGACAAUCACUAGAAUUCGUGUAUACAUUUUGUCUAAAGUGACUCUAUUUAUAGGAAAAAUAAUAUUACUUGAGAAAGAGUUGCAAUUCUGGAUUCUGCCACUGUUUUGCGAAUGAAUAUAUCCAUAUAACGUUCAGUUAUUUAUUGAAGCAUUGAACUGGUUUGAUGGUUGAUUAGUGCUUCUUUUUGCCUGUAGUAAUUUAUGCAACAUGAAAGCACUUGUAAGAAUCAAACUCGGGACAUUCCA
rnacentral:lncRNA from 1 species